rnacentral:rRNA from 1 species
GACGAACGCUGGCGGCGUGCUUAACACAUGCAAGUCGAACGAUGAAGCCGGAGCUUGCUCUGGUGAAUUAGUGGCGAACGGGUGGGUAACACGUGAGUAACCUGCCCUUGACUCUGGGAUAACUGCGGGAAACUGUAGCUAAUACCGGAUACGACCCUCGGAGGCAUCUCCUGGGGGUGGAAAGAAUUUCGGUCAAGGAUGGACUCGCGGCCUAUCAGCUAGUUGGUGAGGUAAAGGCUCACCAAGGCGACGACGGGUGGCCGGCCUGAGAGGGUGACCGGCCACACUGGGACUGAGACACGGCCCAGACUCCUACGGGAGGCAACAGUGGGGAAUAUUGCACAAUGGGCGCAAGCCUGAUGCAGCAACGCCGCGUGAGGGAUGACGGCCUUCGGGUUGUAAACCCCUUUUAGCAGGGAAGAAGCGAAAGUGACGGUACCUGCAGAAAAAGCACCGGCUAACUACGUGCCAGCCGCCGCGGUAA